AUAGGAAGGUAGAGGGCCCUGGCAGGGAGGCCUGCAAAGGGAAGAAUGGGAUACUUAAAUUACCUGAUAUAUGAGAUGUGUUAGUAGAUCUGGUGAGAAAAGGACUAAGCCACUCUAGCAAAUUAAUCUACCAGGAAGAGGAGGUCAUGGAAACCCCGAAUCACAGCCAGUCAUCCAGCCAGCAAACCAGAUGCAUUAAUAACAACAUACUACUUGCAUACUACUUGGAUCUGAAUGAAGAAAAGGCGUUGGACCCUCAAUCCAUGGGCUCUGGUCAAUACCAAGACCUUCUCCAAUACAAACCUAUAUAAUAAGGCAAACAUCUAUACAAAGCCAAUCAUCUGUUUUUAGAAAGCAUGCUGUUAAAGAGUGUGCAACAUGAAGGGAAUGCCAUCAUGCUAACUAAUGUGACCGGCAAAACAGUCAUUUUGUAAGGCUACUGGACUAUCAAGACUACAGGGAUAGAUUGCCAAGAGCCAGAAGAUACCCUCCUGAAGAAGUGUGUGAGGCCCACCUUUAUUGAAACUUUCUAACAAGAAAGCUACCAGGGGAGAAAGACUAAUGAGGCUGAAUGUCCAACGGCUAAUCAGCUAGGUGUGGUUGACCGAGUCUUACUGGGAGUUGUAGCAGUGCCAAUUCCACAGCACCACUGAGGUCCUGGACCAGCAGCUAGAGGGGACACCUUGCCUCUCCCAGGGACAACGUGAUCUGAGCUUCCAUGCCCAGCAUCCCAAGGAUCAGCUUACUCAGAGGGUGGGCAGGAGGCAGAUUUUCUUCUAGCAUUGAUUUCCCUGUACGAAUAACAGCAUGUUUAAUGGGCAUGUGCACCUAGAAAAGAAGAAGGGGGAAUGCAAAGAGCAGACUUCCAGAACAGCCAAAUGAGUCAAACGAGAUGCACCUCCUGGGAGCCCUGAAUUGAUGGUCUCCAGGAAUGUCACUACUGGCCGGCCAGAGGCAGAACAGUCUCUUGAGGAGGACUUGAAGACUCCUCAGGCAGAGAUACAGAUAAGCAUCCUCGGAAAUGGAUUCCAGCACUCUGGCAGUAGUGGAGAUCAAGGGCUUGCUCUGGAGGGCCGCCAGUGAGUGAUCCAGAGAAAAGAAAAAGCCCCCAGCUACCGCCACUACCCCACGAGCCCUGCCCAAAACCACGGAUCUCUGAUCCACCAGCAGUAUAUUAGGUACUUUUCUCAUUAAACAGCUUGAA